UGUCAGCACAUUCAACUAUGUAAAGAAAAAAGUAUUUAAUAAGAAUAUUUCAUUCAUUCAGAUCUAGGAUGUGUUUAUUUUAGUGUUCCCUUUAUUUUUUGGAGCAGUAGAUAGAUAUAUAGAUGCGUGUUGCUCCUCCUAAAUCUACCUUGCAGCACAUCCAUGUAUUUUCCUCCACCUUUAUCUCCACUCCUCCUGACAGCAUUGACUCCCUUUCUCACUCCAUUACACCACCGUCCUCUCCCACAUCCUCUUUCCACUUCUCCCUCUCUCUCCCCCUGGAACUGAAAACCUGUUCAUUGCCUCUUCCUCAAAGUCAUCCACCUCCUCCCUACCUCCUCAUCCUCCACCAUAUCCUCUAAGAUGUCCUCCACAUCCUCCACAAAGUCCUUGAAGCCAUCUGGUCGUGAACGAACACUCCGUCACUGAAGAAUUCCUUGGUUAGCUUACUGAGCUCCUCCCUCUUGGAGGCCUCCAUCCCCACCCUCUCUGCCUUGACCAGGUAACCCAGGAGCAGGGCCUCAAACUCCGGCAUGGUGACAGGAGAGCAGCCCCUCUGCCUGGGCGCAGGCCUCCACUGAACUGCAGUGGGUUUGAGGGUUGGGUUUGUGCGGCAGUCGUUCUCUCUGGUACUCCAGUAGUCAGGUUGCUCAAGGGGGGUCUUCGGUGGGUUUGGGGAGGGCCUUUUCUCUCCUUCUCCUCUCUUUCUUUUCUGCCCUUCUUAGAGUAGUAGUGGUGGUGGUCCUUCUCGUACUUGUCAUUCCCCCGGUCCUUUUUCCAGUUCCCACCGUUUCUCUCCUCCUUCAAUCCUUCCAUCUUUCUAUUUCCAUCCGACCAUCAUUUUCUCUCCUGUUGUCCUACUCUUCCACUCUUUACUGACGUCUUUCUUUCUGUCUUUUCUUUGUCCAAUCUUUCUCUCUCCCUUCCACUCCCUUUUCUCUCCUCUCUCCUUCCUCCUCCUUUGCCAAGGUCCUUAUAGUCAUCCUUGUCGUUCUUCCACUCCCUCCCUUCCACUCAUCCCGGCCCUCAUUCCAACCCUUUUCUUGAUUUUUUCCUCUUUUUCCAUUCUCCUCCUUCCACACUCAUCCCAGCCCUCAUUCCAACCUCCUUUCUUCGAUUGUUGUCCCUCUUUUCCAUUCUUCUCUCCCUUCCACUCUCCCGGCCCUCAUUCCAACCUCCUUUCUUUGAUGGUCUCCUCUUUUCCAUUCUUCUCUCCCUUCCACUCAUCCCUGCCCUCAACCCAACCUCCUUUCUUUUGAUUGGUCUCCUCUUUUCCAUUCUUCUUCUCCUCCCUUCCACUCAUCUGCCUCACCAACUCCUUCUUUUGAUUGUCCCUCUUUUCCUCAUCUCCUGCCUUUCUCCACCCUUGCUAUCACUCCUCUUCAGGUGUUUCUUGUUUCCAAUCUUUCUCUCUUCUCCACCUUCCAGUCUUUUUUCUCACUCUUCUCCUCCAUUCCAUCUUGUUCCUUCCUCUGUCUUCCAUGGUUUGCCCUCAUUCCCUCUGCUAGAUUUUCUUUUGUCUUUCAUUCCAUUCUCCCUUCUUGUCUUUUUCUUCUUUCUUCUUCCCCACCCUUUCUCCCUCU
rnacentral:lncRNA from 1 species